AACACUGUUAACCUGCGGUACCUGCGGAGGGAUCAUUAACAAGCCGUGGGAGAUCAUUUGAUCUCACACUUGGCCAACCUUGUUUACCUUAAACCUGUUGCUUUGGUGGGCCUGCCGCAUAAGGCUGCUGGGAGACAUGUUUCCGGGCGAGUGCUCACCAAAGUCCUUUUAAACUCUAGUUGUUUUUUCUGCUGUCUGAGCAUGCAAGUGCAAAAUUUAGUUUAAAACUUUCAACAACGG
rnacentral:misc_RNA from 1 species